AAAAAAAUAAAUAAUAUAUAUCCUUCAGCUGCUUGUGUGGUGUCCUAUAAAUGUCAAUUAAGCCAAACUGGUUGGACUGUUAUUUAAACCUUCUACAUCCUCAGUGAUUUUUUUUUUGUCUAGUGAUUUAGUCAAUUAUUAAGAGCAUUAAAAUCUCCAAAUAGGAUUGUGUAAUUGUCUAUUCCCUUCCUUCAGUUCUGCUUCCUUAUGUUUCACAUAUUUUGAAACUUCAAUUAUGCAUUUAGAGGAAAAUACUGUGGUACAGUAGGGGAAAAAAAAAAAGACUCAUGAAUCAAAAAGCCUGAAAUUCUUCUUUGACUCUGAUAAUCAAUUGCAAAGCAGGAAUAAUACCUACUUCAAUGAGUUACUGACUUCAUUUCUGUAACUGUCUCCUCCUUGCAAGAAUAGGACUUUUGUCAAAUGCCUUGUAAACCAUCAUGUACUAUGUUGAUUUAAUUAAUACUAUUAUUAUUAGCAUUACUUAAGGAGAAACAGAGUCAUGAGGUUACUGAUGUCAGGCCCCAGACAGAAGACAAUCUAUUUAGCUUAUAAACCUGGGCUCUAGGCAUCAUAAAGAAAAAACAAAAGAGAGUAGAUGACAAAGCUCUAAAGGUAUUUAACUCUUAUCUCUAGGGAUGCAUGAAUGAUUAGAACCCAACAGAGAACCAGAGAAAGUUCAGACUCACCGACCAGAGAAAUCUAAUUCCGUAGCAGAAUAUACAUAAAUAAAAAGUGAAUCUCCACCUAGAUGGGUGAAGAGUAGAAGUUAGACAAACAUUUACUCAAAACAAAGUCUUUGAGCUAAAGAAUUCAAGAUAGCACAUUUGGGGAUAACACAGUUACUCAUAAGAAACUGAUGAUAUAAUGUUACCCAAAAAGCCAAAGACAUAAAAAUCUUCCAGCCUCUGUUUAAAAAUAAGAUUUCUACAAGUAUAUACUGGUUUCAGUGAAGUUUUCUUCUAUGUCAGACUCCCUGAUGAUAGUGCCUAUGUUUGGUUUUUUUUUUUUACAUGACAAUGAGAAAUAGUGCUUGGUGUCCAGAGGAUAAUCAGUAAAAACCCAGUGAAAUGAACUACAGCAUGUCCAGAAAAGGGAUGCUUCCUAUUAAAAUGUCAAUCUACAGCAAGCUGGAACUAUCUCUGCCAAGGUUUCAUCCCCAAAGUCAUUUUUAUGUAAGAAGUACUAUUUUACACAUCAAGGACCUUCACCUAUACACAUACCUAUUUGGUUUUCUCCCUCCAGCCCAAUUUUUUCAUCUGUAAAUGAGGAAUAACUACAGUAUCUACCUACUUCAUAAAGUUACUAUGAAGAUUUAAUGUUCAGUACUUAGAAUGGUGGCUGCGACAAAGUAGGCACCAUGACUUACUUUUUCACUCGUGGCACACAGUUUGAUAUCUGGUAUACACUAAGUUCUCAAUAUAUAAUCGUUGAAGAAUGAACAGGUGAACAAAUGGGUAAAAAUUUAAUUCUCAACUAAAAAGAUAAAGUGUUUCAAGGAAAUGUGCCACCUGUCCUCCUGAGUCAUAAGAUAACCUACCAGCUCCACGUCAGAGGUCACUGAUUUCUGGAGAGUCAGUAGAAAUUGAAAUUAACUAAUUUCAUUCUAUAACUGGAGACUUUCCCCAAGAAGUAUUAAAAACAACUACAACAAUAUGAUUUAGUUUGAGACCCUCUGUGCCUAUAAUUGAGACUUGUUACAAAUGCUGACACUAACCCAGAGCUACAGACUAUAAGUAAUACCCUUUUUAAGAAACUCCAUAGUUUUGAGAAGAAUAUAAUAGUGUCAUUAUUCUUAUUGCCUUAUCAAGGCGGUGUAGCACUUCAUGUACUUGACAAACUUGUUUGUUUACAGAUUAACUACUCCAACUGAGGUGAUGUAUACGUGAAAAAAAAAACAAACUCUAAAGCAAUGCUUGGCUAGAAUGCACGGUUAACCAACAGUGGCUCAAAACAGACUAUACCUAGUUAUUUAACUCAUUCAGAAAAAGAUUUACAUUAAAAAAAAAAAUCCCAUUAUUACUAUGAAUUUUUUUUUUUUUUAGAAUGCCCCAUUGUUUAAGC